GACGAACGCUGGCGGCGUGCCUAAUACAUGCAAGUCGAGCGAAGCGGCGGAUGGGUGAGUAACGCGUGGGUAACCUGCCCUUAAGCAUGGGAUGCUAUUUGGAAACAGAUGCCAAUACCGGAUAAUAAAGGAGGGACUUGGGAUGCAUUAGCUAGUUGGUAAGGUACCGGCUUACAAAGGCGAUGAUGCGUAGCCGAGUUGAGAGACUGAUCGGCCACAUUGGGACUGAGACACGGCCCAAACUCCUACGGGAGGCAGCAGUAGGGAAUCUUCCACAAUGGACGAAAGUCUGAUGGAGCAACGCCGCGUGAGUGAAGAAGGUUUUCGGAUCGUAAAGCUCUGUUGUUGGUGAAGCGGUAAUCAACCAGAAAGUCACGGCUAACUACGUGCCAGCAGCCGCGGUAAUUC
rnacentral:rRNA from 1 species